AUGCCGGGAGUGGUGGUUCUGGUUGCCGCCCCGCACGAACUCUCACCCGGUUCUCAAAUCAAACUGUGAGGUGAUCAAGGAGCGCGUUUCUGUCGUGAUUUUACCAUUCCAGACGGAUUCGGGGCGGGGCGGGCUGGAUAGGAAAGUUCUGAGCUGAGAAGUUCAAGACCAUAGUGCUGACAGAUUCAGUGUCUGAAAUUAACCCAUUUAUUAUAGGCUAGCAACGUUAUCAACUGGUGGUGCUUCAGCUGGUCCUUCAAUCCCUUCAGUCUUCUGAUGGCAGACUUUACUGUGACAGCAGAAGUGGUGUGGUAGGUCCAGGCACCACCAGCUACAGUUUUCAUGCAGGAACCACAGUGCCAAAUGCCCACAGCUCAUCUCUUCAUCUUGGUUUUGCCGCAGAAGGAGCACGUGUACUUGGCGUGCUGGCUGAUUUCAAUUUUCUUCACCAUUUUCCUGAGGGAGGCACCUUAACGGGCCCUGUAUUUGCCCACAAUUCCAGUCUUCUUCGUGCGUUUCACCGUGAUAAUGCAACCUAGAUCCGAGCCCACGAGCUAAGAGGCCUUACUUCUUAAUGCAAGAUUACAAUGAUGAUGAUCAUUAUUUGUGAGAUAUUUCUACCUUUUCCCUAUCCUAUUGGUGGUGUGCUCAGAAUUGGUGGUAUGCUUAGACUUCUCCAAAAUAAUAAAAAUAUUCUUGUGGAAAAAUAAUUCCUCUUCUCACCCCCUACCCCCCUGCCCAGAGAUGUCCACAUUCUAGUCACUGGAAACUGUGAAUAUGUUUUCUUAUGCAGCAAAAAGGAAUCAAGAGAUGGAAUUUAGAUAGUAAGCAGCUGUUCUUCAAAUAGGAAAAUUAUCCUUGGUGAUCUAGUGGCCCUAGUGUGCCGGGUGCCAGCUCACGGGAUCCCACCCAUGAUAAGGUCAUGAAGAGAAAACCCGACAGGCAAGGGGGAUCAGGUUUUCAGGGAUUCCGAAAAGCUCCCCCCACGGCGCUCACCUUAAUAAUGAUAUCUGUCUUUCUGAUGCUUGCUGCAAUAGACUACUCCCUAAUUUCUGUGACACAGGCAGAAGGCCUUCCCUGAUCUCUUUCCAAAUAAGAAUCAAUUUAGAACUUUAAUCAAUAAGUUUCCCAGGUGGUGGUAUUUUAUGAGAUUAUCCAGGGUGAAAGGAGUGUUUUAAUUUAAACUCCUUUGCUGGUAUUUUAGUUUGUUUGGUAAAUGCGUCUAUGCCCUUGGUACUAAUAUGCAUGACUGCUCGUAAUAUCCUAAUCAUAAAACAGCAUAAAGAUCCUGAUCAUAUAAAGGCCCUAAUAGACAUAGAGCCCUUCGGGGAGUGAGGAAGCCCUAUUAAAAAAUGCAAGAAAAAUUAUUCUAAAAGUGGCUACUGUGUUAACAUUUGCUUGCUGUGUUUUUGCUCUUAAUGUGCUAAGGUUGUGUUAUGGAAACCAUUGUUAAUAUUGUUAAAGAUCUAGAAAAAUAAGAGCUUAGCCCUAGUGUGGUAACAAUGAGAUGGUUGUUAAUUGUCAGCCAGGAGUGCUAGGCAGAGGCUGCCUCACUGAAGCCGCAGAGUCUGUGUGGGGUAAACCUCUUAGAUAAAUUCAACUGACAACUUCUGCAGAAGAAUUAACUUUUAUGUUAACAAGGUUAUAUUUCUACUAUGUUGUGACAUGCUGUAUUGUUGCCCUAUAAGACUAUAACUUUUCUGUUAAGAUCACCGCAAAAACAUAAAAUAGGUUUACAUUCACCUGAUUUGCAUAAAAUGUUAAUAGGCCCCAAGGCCAGAAGAUAAUGUGCAAAGAUUUAUUAUAGAAAUAGAAUGCAGAAAACAUCCUGUUCUUCCUAAAGGACAAGCUGAUGUAAUGUUAAACUAUCUUCCCCUCAGAAAUGUAUUAACUUAGGGUAUA